AUUGAACGCUGGCGGCAGGCCUAACACAUGCAAGUCGAACGAGUGGCGGACGGGUGAGUAAUGUCUGGGAAACUGCCCGAUGGAGGGGGGUAACUACUGGAAACGGUAGCUAAUACCGCAUACUCUCGGAUUUGCCCAGAUGGGAUUAGCUAGUAGGGGGGGUAACGGCUCACCUAGGCGACGAUCCCUAGCUGGUCUGAGAGGAUGACCAGCCAAACGGGAACUGAGCCACGGUCCAGACUCCUACUGGAGGCAGCAGUGGGGAAUAUUGCACAAUGGGCGCAAGCCUGAUGCAGCCAUGCCGCGUGUAUGAAGAAGGCCUUCGGGUUGUAAAGUACUUUCAGCGAGGAGGCGUUACGCGCAGAAGAAGCACCGGCUAACUCCGUGCCAGCAGCCGCGGUAAUUC
rnacentral:rRNA from 1 species